rnacentral:rRNA from 1 species
UGGGGAAUAUUGCACAAUGGAGGGAACUCUGAUGCAGCGACGCCGCGUGAACGAAGAAGGCUUUCGAGUCGUAAAGUUCUUUUAUAUGGGAAGAUAAUGACGGUACCAUAAGAAAAAGCCCCGGCUAACUACGUGCCAGCAGCCGCGGUAAUACGUAGAGGGCUAGCGUUGUCCGGAAUCACUGGGCGUAAAGGGUUCGCAGGCGGAAAUGCAAGUCAGGUGUAAAAGGCAGUAGCUUAACUACUGUAAGCAUUUGAAACUGCAUAUCUUGAGAAGAGUAGAGGUAAGUGGAAUUUUUAGUGUAGCGGUGAAAUGCGUAGAUAUUAAAAAGAAUACCGGUGGCGAAGGCGACUUACUGGGCUCAUUCUGACGCUGAGGAACGAAAGCGUGGGUAGCAAACAGG